rnacentral:tRNA from 1 species
GCGGGGGUACCCAAGCGGUCAACGGGGCAGGACUUAAGAUCCUGUGGCCUAGCGCCUUCGGAGGUUCGACUCCUCCUCCCCGCA